CCUACGGGAGGCAGCAGUGGGGAAUAUUGCACAAUGGGGGAAACCCUGAUGCAGCGACGCCGCGUGAGUGAAGAAGUAAUUCGUUAUGUAAAGCUCUAUCAGCAGGGAAGAAAAUGACGGUACCUGAGUAAGAAGCCCCGGCUAACUACGUGCCAGCAGCCGCGGUAAUACGUAGGGGGCAAGCGUUAUCCGGAUUUACUGGGUGGAAAGGGAGCGUAGACGGCAGUGCAAGUCUGGAGUGAAAGGCGGGGGCUCAACCCCCGGACUGCUCUGGAAACUGUACGGCUGGAGUGCAGGAGAGGUAAGUGGAAUUCCUAGUGUAGCGGUGAAAUGCGUAGAUAUUAGGAGGAACACCAGUGGCGAAGGUGGCUUACUGGACUGUAACUGACGUUGAGGCUCGAAAGCGUGGGGAGCAAACAGGAUUAGAUACCCCAGUAGUC
rnacentral:rRNA from 1 species